GGACAGUGAUACAAAACUUUUUUUCGGUUGCCUAGUUUUACGUCCUGUUGAUGUGCAUUCCCAGGCCUGUUUUGUCCUGUUGACGAAUCGUUACCCCCUGUUUUCUCCUGUUGUUGGUUUGCUGCAAAUUUUGGACCAUUUUAUCCAACUCUACCAUGGGCGACCUACUUGUGAUGUGGACCUGACCCUCCGCCAUGUAGCAGACAACCCCCCUCAGGUCUUGCGGUGUUUCCUUCCCAAGUGGCGUGGAUGUGAAGAGACACACAGUUCCCCUGAUGUUCCAUGGGCGACCAACUUGUGAUGUGGACCUAACCCUCCGCCAUGUAGCAGACAACCCCCCCUCAGGUGAGAUGUAUUUCCCUAAACUCCCUCUUGUCCAAGUCACCCCGACAUGUCCAAAGUGCAGCCCUCCGGCAUUUGCCAAACUGCACAUCCAAUCAUUCCCUGAUACACCAAUACUGGUCAAGGGAAUGUUUGGAUGUGUAGUGACGCAAGUGCCGGGGGAUUGCAUUUGGGCCCACUGUAACCUGCUUGUGUCGUGUCGAUUGUACCUCUUCUUUUCAGUACCAGGGUGACACUUUACCAUUAGCUGGAACCUCAUACUGUUCUCUUCCACAGGUCUUGCGGUGUUUCCUUCCCAAGUGGCGUGGAUGUGAAGAGACACACAGUUCCCCUGAUGUUCCAUGGGCGACCAACUUGUGAUGUGGACCUAACCCUCCACCAUGUAGCAGACAA